GUUAUAUGGUCAAGUGAAGAAGCGCAUACGGUGGAUGCCUUGGCAGUCAGAGGCGAUGAAAGACGUGGUAGCCUGCGAAAAGCUUCGGGGAGUCGGCAAACAGACUUUGAUCCGGAGAUGUCUGAAUGGGGGAACCCAGCCAUCAUAAGAUGGUUAUCUUACGCUGAAUACAUAGGCGUAAGAGGCGAACCAGGGGAACUGAAACAUCUAAGUACCCUGAGGAAAAGAAAUCAACCGAGAUUCCCUUAGUAGUGGCGAGCGAACGGGGACUAGCCCUUAAGUGGCUUUGAGAUUAGCGGAACGCUCUGGAAAGUGCGGCCAUAGUGGGUGAUAGCCCUGUACGCGAAAAUCUCUUAGUCAUGAAAUCGAGUAGGACGGAGCACGAGAAACUUUGUCUGAAUAUGGGGGGACCAUCCUCCAAGGCUAAAUACUACUGACUGACCGAUAGUGAACUAGUACCGUGAGGGAAAGGCGAAAAGAACCCCGGAGAGGGGAGUGAAAUAGAUCCUGAAACCGUAUGCGUACAAGCAGUGGGAGCAGACUUUGUUCUGUGACUGCGUACCUUUUGUAUAAUGGGUCAGCGACUUAUUUUCAGUGGCGAGCUUAACCGAAUAGGGGAGGCGUAGCGAAAGCGAGUCUUAAUAGGGCGUCUAGUCGCUGGGAAUAGACCCGAAACCGGGCGAUCUAUCCAUGGGCAGGUUGAAGGUUGGGUAACACUAACUGGAGGACCGAACCGACUACCGUUGAAAAGUUAGCGGAUGACCUGUGGAUCGGAGUGAAAGGCUAAUCAAGCUCGGAGAUAGCUGGUUCUCCUCGAAAGCUAUUUAGGUAGCGCCUCAUGUAUCACUGUAGGGGGUAGAGCACUGUUUCGGCUAGGGGGUCAUCCCGACUUACCAAACCGAUGCAAACUCCGAAUACCUACAAGUGCCGAGCAUGGGAGACACACGGCGGGUGCUAACGUCCGUCGUGAAAAGGGAAACAACCCAGACCGUCAGCUAAGGUCCCAAAGUUAUGGUUAAGUGGGAAACGAUGUGGGAAGGCUUAGACAGCUAGGAGGUUGGCUUAGAAGCAGCCACCCUUUAAAGAAAGCGUAAUAGCUCACUAGUCGAGUCGGCCUGCGCGGAAGAUGUAACGGGGCUCAAACCAUACACCGAAGCUACGGGUAUCACGUAAGUGAUGCGGUAGAGGAGCGUUCUGUAAGCCUGUGAAGGUGAGUUGAGAAGCUUGCUGGAGGUAUCAGAAGUGCGAAUGCUGACAUGAGUAACGACAAUGGGUGUGAAAAACACCCACGCCGAAAGACCAAGGUUUCCUGCGCAACGUUAAUCGACGCAGGGUUAGUCGGUCCCUAAGGCGAGGCUGAAAAGCGUAGUCGAUGGAAAACAGGUUAAUAUUCCUGUACUUCUGGUUAUUGCGAUGGAGGGACGGAGAAGGCUAGGCCAGCUUGGCGUUGGUUGUCCAAGUUUAAGGUGGUAGGCUGAGAUCUUAGGUAAAUCCGGGAUCUUAAGGCCGAGAGCUGAUGACGAGCUAACUUUUAGUUAGCGAAGUGGUUGAUGCCAUGCUUCCAAGAAAAGCUUCUAAGCUUCAGGUAACCAGGAACCGUACCCCAAACCGACACAGGUGGUUGGGUAGAGAAUACCAAGGCGCUUGAGAGAACUCGGGUGAAGGAACUAGGCAAAAUGGCACCGUAACUUCGGGAGAAGGUGCGCCGGUGAGGGUGAAGGACUUGCUCCGUAAGCUCAUGCCGGUCGAAGAUACCAGGCCGCUGCGACUGUUUAUUAAAAACACAGCACUCUGCAAACACGAAAGUGGACGUAUAGGGUGUGACGCCUGCCCGGUGCCGGAAGGUUAAUUGAUGGGGUUAGCUAACGCGAAGCUCUUGAUCGAAGCCCCGGUAAACGGCGGCCGUAACUAUAACGGUCCUAAGGUAGCGAAAUUCCUUGUCGGGUAAGUUCCGACCUGCACGAAUGGCGUAACGAUGGCGGCGCUGUCUCCACCCGAGACUCAGUGAAAUUGAAAUCGCUGUGAAGAUGCAGUGUAUCCGCGGCUAGACGGAAAGACCCCGUGAACCUUUACUAUAGCUUUGCACUGGACUUUGAAUUUGCUUGUGUAGGAUAGGUGGGAGGCUUUGAAGCGUGGACGCCAGUCUGCGUGGAGCCAACCUUGAAAUACCACCCUGGCAACUUUGAGGUUCUAACUCAGGUCCGUUAUCCGGAUCGAGGACAGUGUAUGGUGGGUAGUUUGACUGGGGCGGUCUCCUCCUAAAGAGUAACGGAGGAGUACGAAGGUGCGCUCAGACCGGUCGGAAAUCGGUCGUAGAGUAUAAAGGCAAAAGCGCGCUUGACUGCGAGACAGACACGUCGAGCAGGUACGAAAGUAGGUCUUAGUGAUCCGGUGGUUCUGUAUGGAAGGGCCAUCGCUCAACGGAUAAAAGGUACUCCGGGGAUAACAGGCUGAUACCGCCCAAGAGUUCAUAUCGACGGCGGUGUUUGGCACCUCGAUGUCGGCUCAUCACAUCCUGGGGCUGAAGCCGGUCCCAAGGGUAUGGCUGUUCGCCAUUUAAAGUGGUACGCGAGCUGGGUUUAGAACGUCGUGAGACAGUUCGGUCCCUAUCUGCCGUGGACGUUUGAGAUUUGAGAGGGGCUGCUCCUAGUACGAGAGGACCGGAGUGGACGAACCUCUGGUGUUCCGGUUGUCACGCCAGUGGCAUUGCCGGGUAGCUAUGUUCGGAAUAGAUAACCGCUGAAAGCAUCUAAGCGGGAAACUAGCCUCAAGAUGAGAUCUCACUGGAACCUUGAGUUCCCUGAAGGGCCGUCGAAGACUACGACGUUGAUAGGUUGGGUGUGUAAGCGCUGUGAGGCGUUGAGCUAACCAAUACUAAUUGCCCGUGAGGCUUGACCAUAUAACACCCAAGCAAUU
rnacentral:rRNA from 5 species